UUUCUUCUUACAUUCGUUGUUAUUUAAUAUCAAAUCCACGCCGAACUUUAAAGAUGGUGUAUUUUGAGCUCGACCACAAGUGGAAAGCUGUUUUAAUGGAAGCAGCUGUUCUACAAACUGCUGUAAAUAAAACGUGAUAAUUUUCAGAUGAAGGUUUGGCAUCAGAGUGAGUCCGGCGGCUGAGACAACAGAAAAAAGUCCGGAGGUAAGUAAACUCACCACUUUCCUGUGAACAGCUGAUGAAGACAGCGGGUCGCCUUUUCUUCCCUCUGCAUUUCAGGAUGAUACUGAACAGAAGUGACCCUUCGUGGCGAGAUUUUUCACGGACAGUUAAAUAAAACAUGAGGAUUCUGCCGUGAAGAAGAAAAUCAGUCCUCUGUCGAUGCCGAUGGUCACUUGCUCCAGCGAAAUAGGGAUGUACUUGGAGAUGACAAACACUUUUUAAAAGUGGUAAAAAGUAACACUGCAUUUUCUUCUUUCUUUUGGCCUCUUAGAUAACCAUCCUGCUGUCCUGGUUUUAUCAGCCUACUGUUAAGUCUGGAGGUUUAAGUAGGAAAAAAACUGAACACUGUCCGGCCCCCUCUCAAUGACCGCUGUGGAGUCGGUCAGAAUGGUCGCUGAGCAACAACAUGACACUUGUUCCGG